CUAUAUUCAAAAAGUAUUUCAAUAUACACAGGUUUAAAAUGAGGACAUUUAAGGCACAUGCUUUAAAAAAAUACAUACUAUGGCGAUAGGUGUAAUAUAACAUUGCAUGGAGAUAAAAGUAUCAGAAUAACAUGAAAAAAAUAGUGCUGUAGAGAGAGCAUAGGUUAUAUUUACACGAUUUAAAUUCAGAGUCACGACCAUACAAAC